UUAGUGGCGGAGUCGGCUCACAGCUCUAGACGUAGUAAUUUUUUUCCUCGCCUGUGUGUUGUGCCGGUCCCCUGCCGUAAAACCCCUUAAUUUUUCAAGGUUGACCUCGGAUCAGGUAGGAAUACCCGCUGAACUUAAGCAUAUCAAUAAGCGGAGGAA
rnacentral:rRNA from 1 species